GAUGAACGCUGGCGGCGUGCCUAAUACAUGCAAGUCGAGCGAACGGACGAGAAGCUUGCUUCUCUGAUGUUAGCGGCGGACGGGUGAGUAACACGUGGAUAACCUACCUAUAAAACUGGGAUAACUUCGGGAAACCGGAGCUAAUACCGGAUGAUAUUUUGAACCGCAUGGUUCAAAAGUGAAAGACGGUCUUGCUGUCACUUAUAGAUGGAUCCGCGCUGCAUUAGCUAGUUGGUAAGGUAACGGCUUACCAAGGCAACGAUGCAUAGCCGACCUGAGAGGGUGAUCGGCCACACUGGAACUGAGACACGGUCCAGACUCCUACGGGAGGCAGCAGUAGGGAAUCUUCCGCAAUGGGCGAAAGCCUGACGGAGCAACGCCGCGUGAGUGAUGAAGGUCUUCGGAUCGUAAAACUCUGUUAUUAGGGAAGAACAUAUGUGUAAGUAACUGUGCACAUCUUGACGGUACCUAAUCAGAAAGCCACGGCUAACUACGUG
rnacentral:rRNA from 1 species